rnacentral:misc_RNA from 1 species
AAGGAAAGAGGAAUACCCAAUAUAAUGGUCGGAAAAACCAUUAUAUUGGGUAAGCAUACCCGGGGGUCUCUAAAACCCCUCGAUUGGGUAAGCAUACCCGGGGGUCUCUAAAACCCCUCGAUUGGGUAAGCAUACCCGGGGGUCUYUAAAACCCCUCGAUUGGGUAAGCAUCCCAAGAUGGUAAGAAAGAUAGUAAGGAAAGAGAAAUACUCAAUAUAUGGGUYUUAAAAAUCCAUGGGUAUUUYUCUUUUUUUUUUGCUUUAAUUUGAUCCCUAGUUUUUUUUCUUCUUCAUUACAGAUUUAUUAUCGUUAUCGUUUCUUGCAUCUCUCGCGAAAUUCCGGGUAGGCGCGAAUUCUCCCAAUUUGUAACCUAUCAUAGAAUCUGUUAUAUAAAUAGGUAAAUGUUCCUUUCCAUUAUGAAUACCGAUUGUAUGGCCAACCAUUGGAGGUAUAAUGGUARAUGCCCGAGACCAAGUGACUAUUAUUUCUUUCUCCUCCCCCAUUUUUAUUUUUUGAAUUUUUUCCGAUAAAUGCUAGCUACAAAUGUUUUUUUUUGACGUAUCAMAGCUGAUUACUCCUUUUUUUACAUGUUAAARAUUGGCAUUCUAUGUCCAAUAUCUCGAUUUAAGUAUG